rnacentral:misc_RNA from 1 species
UUCGAUCAUGGUCAGAUUGAACGCUGCGGGAUGCUUUAGCACAUGCAAGUCGAACGGCAGCACGGACUUCGGUCUGGUGGCGAGUGGCGAACGGGUGAGUAAUGUAUCGGAACGUGCCUAGUAGCGGGGAUAACUACGCGAAAGCGUAGCUAAUACCGCAUACACCCUUCGGGGAAAGCGGGGGACCUUCGGGCUCGCACUAUUAGAGCGGCCGAUAUCGGAUUAGCUAGUUGGUGGGGUAACGCUCACCAAGGCGACGAUCCAGCCGGUUUGAGAGGACGACCAGCCACACUGACCGGAGACACGGCCCAGACUCCUACGGAGGCAGUGGGGAAUUUUGGCUAAUGGGGAAACCCUGAUCCAGCCAUCCCGCGUGUGCGAUGAAGGCCUUCGGAAGUUGUAAAGCACUUUUGGCAGGAAAGAACGGCACGGGAUAAUACCCCGUGCAACUGAUUUUGCAAUUAAGAAUAAGCACCGGCUAACUACGUGCCAGCAGCCGCGGUGUAGGUGGGCGUUAAUCGGAAUUACUGGCGUAAAGCGUGCGCAGGCGGUUCGGAAAAAGAAAGAGGAAAUCCCAGAGUUUAACUUUGGAACUGCAUUUUUAACUACCGAGCUAGAGGUGGUGUCAGAGGGAGGUGGAAUUCGCGUGUAGCAGUGAAAUGCGUAGAUAUGCGGAGAACACCGAUGGCGAAGGCAGCCCCGGGAUAAACACUGACGUCGCACGAAAGCGUGAGCAAACAGGACGAUACCCUGGUAGUCCACGCUCCUAAAACGAUGUCAACUAGCUGUUAGCUUCGCCUGUAGAAGUAGCUAACGCGUGAAGUUGACCGCCUGUAGCAUGGUCGCAAGAUUAAAACUCAAAGGAAUUGACGGGGACCUGCACACAAGCGGUGGAUGAUGAUUAAUUCGAUGCAACGCGAAACCUUACUCACCUUUAGAUGUCUGGAAUCCCGAAGAGAUUUGGGAGUGCUUCCUCCGUAAGAGAACCGGAACACAGGUGCCGCAUGGUUGCCGUCAGCUCGUGUCGAGAUGUUGGGUUAAGUCCUGCAACGAGCGCAACCCUUGUUGUCAGUUGCUAC